AUUGAACGCUGGCGGCAUGCUUUACACAUGCAAGUCGAACGGUAACAGGCCGCAAGGUGCUGACGAGUGGCGAACGGGUGAGUAAUGCAUCGGAACGUGCCCAGUCGUGGGGGAUAACUAUCCGAAAGGAUAGCUAAUACCGCAUACGAUCUGCGGAUGAAAGCGGGGGACCUUCGGGCCUCGCGCGAUUGGAGCGGCCGAUGUCAGAUUAGGUAGUUGGUGGGGUAAAGGCUCACCAAGCCAACGAUCUGUAGCUGGUCUGAGAGGACGACCAGCCACACUGGGACUGAGACACGGCCCAGACUCCUACGGGAGGCAGCAGUGGGGAAUUUUGGACAAUGGGCGCAAGCCUGAUCCAGCAAUGCCGCGUGCAGGAAGAAGGCCUUCGGGUUGUAAACUGCUUUUGUACGGAACGAAACGGCUCUGGUUAAUAAAGAGGGGUCAUGACGGUACCGUAAGAAUAAGCACCGGCUAACUACGUGCCAGCCGCCGCGGUAA
rnacentral:rRNA from 1 species